AGUUAAUACAUACUCUAUCAUUUUUAUUUUUUAUCAUUCCAGACUCCCAAGCACCUGCACAUCCCACUCCAUAGCCCAGCCACUCUCAUCUACCAUAUGCCCAUCCCAGUUAGCAAGCCAACCACUAGCAUUUGACUGACAUGCACUUUGUGACUUACAUAAACCAGACCUCUACAUAGCCUACAUCUCUUCAUUUCGCUAAAGGCUGCCCAUCAUCUUUUCAAGCUCUCUCAUCCUAGCCUGUCAUCUGUAUAAAGCACACUGAAGUUAGGUAUGGAAUUCAUCCUUAUCAUUGCAGGCUCCCUUCACAUGCAUACUACCUCCAUCUCCAUCUCCCACAACCUACCUAACAGCUUUGAGACUCACUAAAAGUUGGUAUGUAAGGAAUUUCUAACUAAGUUUUAUACAUGUUAUAUCUUAUAAACCAUUGUAUGGUAUUACAUACU